AUUGAACGCUGGCGGCAGGCCUAACACAUGCAAGUCGAACGGUAACAGGAAGCAGCUUGCUGCUUUGCUGACGAGUGGCGGACGGGUGAGUAAUGUCUGGGAAACUGCCUGAUGGAGGGGGAUAACUACUGGAAACGGUAGCUAAUACCGCAUAACGUCGCAAGACCAAAGAGGGGGACCUUCGGGCCUCUUGCCAUCGGAUGUGCCCAGAUGGGAUUAGCUAGAAGGUGGGGUAACGGCUCACCUAGGCGACGAUCCCUAGCUGGUCUGAGAGGAUGACCAGCCACACUGGAACUGAGACACGGUCCAGACUCCUACGGGAGGCAGCAGUGGGGAAUAUUGCACAAUGGGCGCAAGCCUGAUGCAGCCAUGCCGCGUGUAUGAAGAAGGCCUUCGGGUUGUAAAGUACUUUCAGCGGGGAGGAAGGGAGUAAAGUUAAUACCUUUGCUCAUUGACGUUACCCGCAGAAGAAGCACCGGCUAACUCCGUG
rnacentral:rRNA from 1 species